AGAGUUUGAUCCUGGCUCAGGAUGAACGCUAGCGGCAGGCCUAAUACAUGCAAGUCGAACGAGAUUGUUGUAGCAAUAUGACAUGAAAGUGGCGCACGGGUGCGUAACACGUAUGCAAUCUACCUCUAAUUGGAGAAUAGCUUCGAGAAAUCGGAAUUAAUACUCCAUAACAUUAUCGAAUGGCAUCAUUUGAUAAUCAAACUUCCGGGGAUUAGAGAUGAGCAUGCGCAACAUUAGCUAGUUGGUAAGGUAACGGCUUACCAAGGCUACGAUGUUUAGGGGGUCUGAGAGGAUGAUCCCCCACACUGGUACUGAGACACGGACCAGACUCCUACGGGAGGCAGCAGUAGGGAAUAUUGGGCAAUGGAGGAAACUCUGACCCAGCCAUGCCGCGUGCAGGAUGACGGCCCUCUGGGUUGUAAACUGCUUUUAUACGGGAAGAAAAAAUACUACGUGUAGUAUACUGACGGUACCGUAAGAAUAAGGAUCGGCUAACUCCGUGCCAGCAGCCGCGGUAAUACGGAGGAUCCAAGCGUUGUCCGGAUUUAUUGGGUUUAAAGGGUGCGUAGGCGGAUCUUUAAGUCAGUGGUGAAAGCCUGCAGCUUAACUGUAGAACAGCCAUUGAAACUGAAGAUCUUGAAUUUGGUUAAAGUAGGCGGAAUGUAUCAUGUAGCGGUGAAAUGCUUAGAUAUGAUACAGAACACCGAUAGCGAAGGCAGCUUGCUGAACCAAUAUUGACGCUGAGGCACGAAAGCGUGGGGAGCGAACAGGAUUAGAUACCCUGGUAGUCCACGCCCUAAACGUUGAUUACUCGUUGUUGGCGAUAUACUGUCAGCGACCAAGCUAAAGCGUUAAGUAAUCCACCUGGGCCGUAUCGUGACUGGGAAGAUCGGAAGAGCACACGUCUGAACU
rnacentral:rRNA from 1 species